UAGUUGAAAUAUACUUAAUUCAUAAUGGAAAUGCAUUUAUUCCAUACUCUGAAUAUAGUCUAUCAAUUCAUACUUGUGCAAUAUGUUUUAAAUACAUCUAAUUCACAAGGGAAAACAGUUAAUGUAUAAGAUAUAUUCAGAUUAAACUCAAAAAGCUCUCAGCUUAUACAUCUAGUCUAUACAUUUGAACACAAUCAUUUGGAUUCAAUUCGAGCCCAAACAACAAAUGUGUGUGUCCUUUGUUAGGAGAAAAGAUAAAGGGUUGCGAACAAGGUGCAUGAACACCUGUCCAGCAGCAAACGCUUGUUCUAUUUCAUUUAGACUUUAGGACGGUAUUCAUAGUGAUGGAAAAUGGUAAAGCUUAUUCAAGACCGAUUAUAUAGAGGUAGCUAAUGCAUUUCUUCGCCAUUUUCUGUAUACCUAAUGAGCUAUCUAUUGUGUGAAGUAAGUUACAUGUAUGUAAACUAGAAGGGUGUUCUAUUUUCGGAGCGCCUAUGUGGAGCAUGAUUCAUAGAAGGUUCAAUGAAUUUCUCCUGACGUGCAAAUGUUCAGUAUCAUCUGUUGGACUAACACCUGCGUUGGUAGCUUACCUCCACGUCGACAGACGCCCACUAACACCAGCGCCGGGGCAAGCACCCUAGGGGUGUUAAACUCAUGACCAGCGGGUGGGUUUACACCAGGGGUUCAAACUCAUGUCAAAAAAGGGAAACUGAAGUUGGUCAUAAACGCUCCGCGGGAGAACAAGAAGAAUUAUUAGCUUGAGAAAAUGUAUCAUAAACUGUAACAACUCAUGACUAACGCAUAUACAAGUACAUACAACCAGACAGCUAUCAAGAAUGUGCCUAUAUAGCCGUCAAGAGGGGAGCUGAAACGAAAAUUGACCCUCGAAGGGUUGGAGUUUGACAUCCCUGACUUAACAUUUCUGAUUUAAAUGUAGCAUCACUGACAGAUCCCGGGUAGACACAUUAUGAUUCCAUAGGAUAUACCUUUGUUCUGUAUAAAGCUUGCAAUAUUCCUUUGCUUUUUUCCCCCUUUUCCGGCGAUUUGUAAGCCAAAAGUCGUUAUUUGUUUUCUAAUAUUGCUUGUUGAUUCUCUUUUCCUCCCUCUUCCAGAAAUUACUUAUUAUCAUCCUGGUACAAAGACCAGACGUUGCAUUACAAACAGGCGCAAUAUUGUUGGAUGGUGGCCAGUAGAUAUCUCUUUUCACACGCAGCAACCCUCUUCCGAACUUACGCGUGUGAAGAGAUUAAAAUCACUUCUCUUCUCAAGACGGGCCAUCACCAAUCCUCGUGAAUGGUGUCGUUGGAAAGGAUCGGAAUGCGUAUAACAAGGAAGUAUAAGAACUGACACCAAGCGCACCCUGUAGAAGGAAAUGCAAUCGCUGGCAAAGUGAAGCUGCGAAGUAGAAUAGCGUGAAGCCAGGGGUUGUGUGGUCGCUCUUGCACCGGGGACAACCAAACAGCACAAAGCAACCAUUCACCUGAAAGAGAUUUGAAAUUGUAAGGUCAUAAAUGAAGAGGCAGUGGCGGCGCAGCAUAAGUAGCGCAUAAGUAGUUGGUGCUGGAUUGCGAGAUGGAGUGUGGAAUUCGGAAAAGGCAUAAACAGGCAGAGCGUAAAAUCAAGUGGUGGAGGUAGAAGGAGAGUAACCUGAAAAUGGGUUUAAAAGAAACCGGGCUGGAACGUGCGAGGGAUUUGUUAUUAUUAUAAUCGUUAUAAUGAUACUACUGCUACUACUACUAUUACUACUACUACAACAACAACUGUGGUGGGAGUAAUAAGGGAGGUUGGACAAGUGUUAAGCAAACAUCUGGUAAGGGAGCCCAUAGAGGUAACGAAACUUGCUGGUGGUACAAAGAGGUGCAAAGGGUGACUAAUGAAAAGAAAGAGGCAAAGAAGAGAUGGGAGAAAUCUGGUUUGUAGGGAGAUUGAGAAGAGUGGAAGAGAGCAACCAAGAGGGCGAAAAAGGAGGUGGCAAUUGCGAAGUCGAGAAUGAGCUAGAAACACCGGGGGAGAAAGAAAUUUGUAUAGGACAGAGUAAGGGACAAAGCAUCAACACACAUGAGGCAGGUUAUAGAUCAGCAAGGAACAGUUUUGAAUGAAUAACUAGAGAAGUAAGGAAAGCUUUAAAGAAAACGAAAAACAACAAAGCCACAGUACCAGACAAUAUCCCGGCAAAAGUGUGGAAGAGUUUAGAACAUGUGGGAUCUGAUGCAAAAGACCUACCAGAAGAUACCACUAGAAUGGAAAGAUAGUGCAAUAGUUAGGAGACAUUACAGGGGUAUCAAAAUGAUGUCACGCACUAUGAAAAUUUGGGAAAGAAUAAUAGAGAGUAGGCUAAGAGAAGAAACAACCGUGGGAAACGAGCAGUUUGACUUCAUGUCAGAUAGAGGGAUGACAGACGCCAUCUUUGCACUUAGGCAAAUGAUAGAAAAGCAGAGAGAAGAGGGAUUUGCGUAUGGUCUUCGUGGACUUGGGAAGGGCGUAUGAUAAAGUGCCUAGGCAAGAAGCAUGGAGGUGCAUGAGGGAAAAGGGGGUAGCAGAAUAGUAUGUGAGAUUAGGCCAAGAUACGUAUGAGGGAGCAAAACCGAGAGUAAGAAGCAGUGUGGGAGUCGCAGGUUGGAUAUCCGUAAGAGUGGGAUGUUCUUUCUGAACAUCGUUUGCAGACGACAUAGUUAUCUGCUCUAACAAAAGAGGAGAGACCGAAAGGAAACUAGAGUAUUGGGGAAUGGCUUUGGAAGACAGACAAUUAAAAGUCGGUAGGAAGAAGACUGUGUGGGAUUCAUCUGCGAUAAAAGUGAGGGAAAGAUUACGCUGCUUGAUAACACCUUGAAAAGAGCUGGAACCAUUAAAUACCUCAGUUCAACAGUGGCGGAAAACCAAGGAUGAUAAUGUGAGAGGCGAUCUGAGAGAAAAGGGUUGGAGACAGGAGGGCCUGGAGGCAACUCAUCAAAAACGUCGAGUAAAAGAUUGUUUAUUAUUAUUAUCAUUAUUAUUAUUAUUGUUAUUGUUAUUGUUAUUGUUAUUGUUAUUGUU
rnacentral:lncRNA from 1 species